rnacentral:misc_RNA from 1 species
GCAAACUUGGUCAUUUAGAGGAAGUAAAAGUCGUAACAAGGUUUCCGUAGGUGAACCUGCGGAAGGAUCAUUAUUGAUUUUCAAAGGAUGUGCUGGCCCCCCCUAACUGGGAGCAACGUGCACUCCCAACAAAACCAAUAUCCACCUGUGCACUCCUUAGUAGGCAAAGACCGUGACAAGUCCUUUGCCUAUGUUUCCUUUACAAACACUUGAACUAUUGGAAUGCCUUUCUUAUGCAAUGACAUAAAUUGCAAUAACAACUUUCAACAAUGGAUCUCUUGGUUCUCGCAUCGAUGAAGAACGCAGC